GAGGAAGUCACACUGGGGUGAGGCCAUUGGGCACCGUCCUUCACUCCCCCCUCCCCCUCAGCCUGCUCUGGCCACCUGCCCACCUCCCAGGGACCAAGCCGCUCCCCCCCGCACCCCCCACUCCGCCUGUCCGGGAGAGAAGGAGGUGGGGAUGCCUGGUUAAGGACUUUCCUGUCUGCAUCCUGCUCCCCCAGCCUCCAUGACUAUUAUUGGGUCUGGGUACACUUCUGCAUCUACCAGUCCAUCCCCAGCAAGUGAGCUGAGGGCCCAAUGCAAGGGGCUAGGAAGCCAGCGGGCACAGGGAGGAAAGAGGAAGGAGCGGUCCUCAAAGGGCUGUCCUCAAAGCGCUCCCCCUGGUGGAGGAGACAGGAAGCGCGUGGCCGGGACGGCUGAGGAACAACGCAGAAGCGGUGGGUGGUGGCGCCCGGUGUUGUGUCCCAAAGACAUCGAAAGCCCCAGGACGUAAUUCUGGGGGUAGAGAGGGAAGCGGAGCAGCUUAUGGAAGCCAUAGAACAAGUUCUCACUUGAGGCGUCCACAGUGGGGACAAUAAGAAUGAGAAGAGAAAGGCGGCUGAGAAGGAGCAAAGGACCUGGAGGCUUCAAACCCAGUGCUGCCCUGGGAGGUGUCAGGUGAGCCUUGCGUCGGGCGAGUGUGGAAUCCACGUCAAAGAGAACUUAAUUGCGCCAGUGGCCGGGCUCCGUGCUUUGCCAAAACCGUGUGGAUGGUAAUAUUCCCUUCUGGCAAAUGUGGAAACCGAGGUUCAGAGAAUCUGCCCCCUUCCCAAAGCUGGCAGAAUUAGAAGGGCCAGGGCUGGGACUCACACAGGAUAUCUGACUCCAAGUCCAACUGACUUGUCUGCUCUGUGGGUCAGAUUCACCCACGGGAUUGGAGGGAAGGGGGAGGAAUGAGGAGCUCCUGCCACGCUCAAAAAGCUAAAUGCUAUGAGGUUGCCCCGGAUCCUCACAUCUGUGGUGAAGGAGCUUUCCCAGCCAGAGAGUGAGCUGCAGGGAUGGGAUUGCUGAGGGUGGAUAAAGGGGAGGAGGGCUGUGUUAAUCUGCUCGGGGUGUCAUCACUGGGAGGCUUAACUGGGAGGCUUACUUUCUCAUAGUUCUGGAGGCUGGAAGUCCAGGAUCAGGUGCUAGAAGGGUUGGUUUCCUCUGAGUCUCUUGGCUCACAGAGGGCCCCCCUCUUACAGCCUGUUCACGUGGUUGUCAUUCUGUGUAUGCCGUUCACGCUGGUGUAUUUCUGUGUCCUAUCUUCUAGUAAGGACACUAGUCAGAUUGGAUUAGGGCACCCUAAGGGUCUUUUUUUUUUUUUUUUUUUUUUUUNUAGGGUGUUUUUUUUUUUUUUUUUUUUUUUUUUUUGCUUUUUAGGGCCACACCUGUGGCAUAUGGAAGUUUUCAGGCUAGGGGUGGAAUCAGAGCAAUAGCUGCCAGCCUAUACCACAGCCACAGCAAUGCCAGAU
rnacentral:lncRNA from 1 species